GAUUAACGCUGGCGGCGUGCCUAACACAUGCAAGUCGAGCGGCAGCGAGUUUUACACUGAAUUCUGGAAGCUUCUAGUUGAAAGAGAAGAUUUAUUCAAGAAUUUUGUGUAAAAUGUCGGCGAGCGGCGGACGGCUGAGUAACGCGUGGGAACGUACCCCAAAGUGAGGGAUAACGCAUCGAAAGGUGUGCUAAUACCGCAUAUGGUCUUCGGAUUAAAGCCUUCGGGCGCUUUGGGAACGGCCUGCGUAAGAUUAGAUAGUUGGUGGGGUAAUGGCCUACCAAGUCGACGAUCGUUAACUGGUUUGAGAGGAUGAUCAGUAAGACUGGAACUGAGCCCCGGUCAAGCCUCCUACGGGAGGAAGCAGUGAGGAAUCUGCCACAAUGGGCGAAAGCCUGAUGGGGCAACGCCGCGUGCAGGAUGAAGGCCUUCGGGUUGUAAACUGCUUUUAUAAGUGAGGAUUAUGACAGUAACUUAUGAAUAAGAAUCGGCUAACUACGUG
rnacentral:rRNA from 1 species